AAUCUUUAACCAAGAGCGGAAACA
rnacentral:snRNA from 1 species